rnacentral:lncRNA from 1 species
AAAGGACAUAAUAAUAAAACACAAAAAUUGGGCAAAAAUCUUGGCCAAGAGCCAGCACCCAAUGAUUGUCAUGAUUGCUAAUGACACUGUGACUCUCCAAUGUUUCUCUGAGCUUGAGUAGCCCAGGAAUCUCGGAGUGUUGUUUGGCUUAAACUGGAAGUUACUUAGCUGCAGAAGGUUAGUACAUGGAGGGCUGUCAUUUGACAGGGUCUGGAGUGGGAAAGACCCCAUGGAGCCCCUGUUUGAUGAGCUAAAUCCAUCAGUUCUAGUUGGGAAGAGAAAAAAUACGUGUACUAGAACUACAAAAGAGGAAACAAACAUUUCCCAAUACAAAAGAGGGAAUCAACAACAUUCACUAUUGGGCUGGAGGACUUCCCCCUUCACCUGUCAAGGGGCCAGUGUUUCGCUGCAGGAAAGUGAUAAGGGAGAGCCCUUAUCAGUUGGCAACUGAUCCUACAACACCGCUUAGGUGAGAAGGCUGGGACCAAGGUCUGGAGACAAACCCUGCCUUCUUCCCCACCGUGUUUAAGGCCAUCUGUAUGACCCUGUGCCUCGCAGGUGGGAUUUAGUUGUCUUCAGUAGCUUCAAGGACUGUUCUAGAUCUUUCCCAGUUUAAGGCCAGCAAGGCUGCGUGAGAGCAGAAGCAGUUUCCAGGGACUGCCAGGUGUCCAGCUGCUUCUCUGUUUGCUCUUGUGUUAUGUCUACUAGUAACAACGCCUCCUGUGUGUGUUUGUUCCCCUGUAGGUAUGUGAGAUUAUGUCAGCCCUGCACCAGACUCAACCCUGAAAGGACUUUGCAAGGAAAGGGGUCAGUUGACCAGUCCUGACCUACCCCGUGCUAACUUCUGGACAUGGGCUUUUCCUCAUUCCAUCCCAACUAAACAGACGGAAGAAACAUACAAAGAAGGAACUUUCGAGAGCAGCAAAGACUCAAGGAUCAGCCUAUGAAAGUGGGGCUGGGGAAAAACAAAAGCCCGGACCAAGCUCAUGGCGGAAGAGGACAGCUCUGCGAUCCCUGCCCAGGGCAGGCCUUCACCUCUGAUGCCCUUUGCCUCGCAAAAAGUGGUUGGUUGGGACUUCGCUUAUGGUCUUCCAGGAAGGAAGGAGUCAUGUACCUGCAGUAACUGUCAUAGGAAUAAACACACUGGGGCCAGUGUUCUGACACAGGGGGUUAAGUCUCCACUUAACCAUUUGUGGCACCGGCAUCCCCUUAUCCGAGCCCUGGUUCGAGACCCAGCUGCUUUGUUUCUGAUCUGGCUCCCUGGCAUCAGGGAAGGCAACAGAUGAUGGUUCAAGUCCUUGGGCCCCAGCCACCCAUGUGGGAGACUGGGAUGGAGUUCCUGGAUCCUGGCUUCAGCCUGGCCCAGCCCUGGCUGCUGUAGACAUUUGGGGACUUAAUCGGCAGCUGAGAUCUCUCUCACUCUCUGUCUCUCUCGGUAACCCUUCAUCUGCCCCCGGCCCCCAACUCUGCCUUUCAACAAAUAAAUCUUAAAAAAAAAAAAAGCA